CGAAAUUGAAACCAGAACAGACGCGAUUAUAUAUAAAUCCUUUCUACCGUUAUCUGGAUUUGUUCUCGGUUGUCCCGAGUUCAACUCCCCGACCGCGUUGUGUAAAUAACCAACUGGUCAGCCUCCUAUUUGCAUUAAUUGUUUAUUCAUUUACAGUGUCCCCAAUUAGCACAAGAGCACUAAAUACAUUUCACAUAUAAAUAAAGUUAUUUAUUUAUUUGUUUGUUUGUUUGUUUGUUUGUUUGUUUGUUUGUUUGUUUGUUUAUUUAUUUAUUUAUAAGUACUAAGGCAAAGAGUACAACUUCUGGGUGGUUUUGUGGCUGUACACCAAAUUAACGCGUAAUAAAUGCUGUGGCGAGCUUUCCAGCUUCAAGAGACUUACUGUAACUUACUAUCAGCAAGAGAGGAUAAACGAUAGGAGAGAGUUAACUCCCCAUGUAGGCCUAAUUCCCAAGGCAAUCCCUCGCUAGUUAUUUUUUAUCAUUUUAGAUCACCACCCGGCUUCAGAAAUCUCAGGAUCGGGUCUAGAAAUUGCCAGUGCUCACGUGGACAGCUCAAGUGGCGUUACACACAUUUUAAUUCUCCACGAAAACAUCAAGUGGCAACGCCGGUGGUAAUAGGGAGCUUAAGCAAUGAAAACGGCGACGUCGAGGACGAUGCGUAGUCAAAAAUAAUUUAUAUUUUACCAGCGAAAUUCGAAAUUGUCUAGAUCUGUUCGGUACGCCAGUGGCUCCGGCUAUAUAUAGUCGUCAGGCCAAAUAUGCAAUGACAGCAUUCAAUUCCAAACGGAAAUACGAAAAAUUAACCGUCGUCAUUCGCGUUUCUCAAACUACGCAGAACUUAGUCAUUUCACGUUCUUGUUUUGCAGAGGACAGCAAAGAAAUGUACAAAGAAAUGUACAAAGAUUUACAAAGCACGUGCAAAGGUACACCUCACACAAGUUAACACUACCUUGGGCUCCAGGCUCCCCUUGGUCACCUGAAACAGAUGCAGCAGAAGCCUGGAUAAGAGGUACGUUUUUCAAUGUUCGAUAUAUAAACAAUAGUCUCCAUUUGGCGCGAAGAUAUGCUCGGAUAUUUGUCCGCGGACAUUAUCUGUUCCGAGAAGCGAACAGUUUCCCGAAAGCGUAACAGGAGCGCCAAAUGGAGGCUAUUCUGUUUAUUACCCUUCAAAUAAUUUUCGAAAACUGGAUAAUUAACAUGUUUGUUAAUAAUCAGUUUUUGAAAACUGGGAAAUAUCACUCAGAUAUGGAUUAUAAAUGGAUUAUAAAAACAGAUGUACACCUUUUCGCGUGUUUGAAACGUACCCGUUUCUCCAGUGUCCCCUUUCAAUCCAUCUCUGCCUGGAGGCCCGGUAUUUCCGGGUUCGCCCUUAACGCCUUUAACACCUGAAAAAAAA